UGGGGAAUAUUGCACAAUGGGCGCAAGCCUGAUGCAGCCAUGCCGCGUGUAUGAAGAAGGCCUUCGGGUUGUAAAGUACUUUCAGCGGGGAGGAAGGGAGUAAAGUUAAUACCUUUGCUCAUUGAUGUUACCCGCAGAAGAAGCACCGGCUAACUCCGUGCCAGCAGCCGCGGUAAUACGGAGGGUGCAAGCGUUAAUCGGAAUUACUGGGCGUAAAGCGCACGCAGGCGGUUUGUUAAGUCAGAUGUGAAAUCCCCGGGCUCAACCUGGGAACUGCAUCUGAUACUGGCAAGCUUGAGUCUCGUAGAGGGGGGUAGAAUUCCAGGUGUAGCGGUGAAAUGCGUAGAGAUGUGGAGGAAUACCGGUGGCGAAGGCGGCCCCCUGGACAAAGACUGACGCUCAGGUGCGAAAGCGUGGGGAGCAAACAGG
rnacentral:rRNA from 1 species